GCUUUAAAACGCAGCCAGGUGGAGACAGCAACUCAAGAUGGCGAACGAGAAAGACCGCCAGCCAGAGUGUCUCUGCAAGAAAGACAGAUUUUAGAAGAAAGUGAAAAAAAUAUAAGCAGGCAGACAAACAGAGAUGGGACGGGGGUCGGAAGGAAGGGUGCCUGAAACUACAGGAGACUCCACGGGGAGAAGUUGCGGAGGGGAACCGGAAGGAGAAAGGCCCCGGAGAGGCUUGGAGACCGGCGACAAGGUUGGUAUCAGAAGUGGGAUUCAAAGUAGACCUUCCAGCAACCCCCUGGAAGCACGAAGUUACCAAGCAAAGUAUCUGCCAGGCCGAUGGUGUCCACUGCACUCUUGCCGCAACUGGGGAUUGUGGGUGCAAGGUGUGUAGAGGACUUCACGGUGAAUGGAAUUGAAGAGAUGGUCUUCAAUGCUUCCACUUUCCAGUGUUAGUGCUCUGAGAGGUGUUGAGGCCUCAGCUACAACUAAUACGUGGAGUUCCAUUUUACCAGCCUGCUACAUACAUGUUUCCUGCAGAGAGCACAUAUCCUCAGCUCAAUUUGAAAGCCUCUGAGGACAAAGAGCUCCUUCCUUUCUGCAACGUCCAUUUCUGCUGAUAGAUGGGUUCAGAACUUACACAUGUUUUCUUCACGUUGUGGCAGACACUUCUCUCUGCCUCUUUCCUGCAGUCAUCUGCCAAGUGAUACAGAAAUCUGUGGGCUCCUGCCCUGAAGGAGACCUUGGAGCCCUCCUAUGCUGGGAGCAAAGAAAUGUUUAAUCAGAGUAAUAUCAGAGAAAUAAUAGUAUUUUAAACAUGUAUUUUACGGAAGAUAAUGAAGCUGCUACUUUGAUGAAGGAUUACAUAGCAGGUAGGGUCAAGGCAGAUUUUUCAAGCUUCCUUUAGUUCUAUUUGUUGCUUCAGCCAAGGCUACGACCUCAUUUUUCGUAUAUCACACGGGGUACAUUUUAAUUUAAUAAAGGCAGCACAUACUCAUCCUUAAGCCAAAUUCCCAAGUUGAAAAGGUGACUUUGAAUUUCAGAAGCUAUUUCCUGGAAGUUUAUCUUAGACUCUGCUUUUACUAGCUCAAUUGCAAUGACUUUGGCAGUCAUUAAAAGUGAUUAUUUGCGUAGUGGUUUCCAGCGAGCCAUCCAUGUUUCCAGUUCUUAGUGAUGUCUGGGGCCCUAAAAUAUAUCUAGAAACAAAAUUGUUUGCAUAUUUUCAGAAACUCCUCAUCUUGUGCUUCUUAGAUUUACAUCUUAUAAUGACUUCCAUUUAUUAGUUCAGUGUCCAUUAUGUAGCAGGUAGUCUGCCAUGCACCAGGGGUACAGUGGUGAAAAAUCUCCAUUGUUGCAAGGGACACACACAUCCAUAGGCUCAGGGACACCACUGGUUCUAAGUUUUGGUCACAGCUGUGGUGUCCAGGCUGCAGGCACUGCUGCUCUUGUCCACAGAACUUAGUCUCACUCUCUCCAUGUCUCAGCUCUGGGUUGCCUCUGUCUUCAGGCAGGUUUCCCCUCGUGGAGGCCAGGCAAUUGUCAGCAUCUCCAAGCCUAACUCCUCCUCUCAUCAGUUCCAGAGGAGAGAACCACAAUCCUCAAAAGUCCAUGAAAGCCCUGUAAUCGAAUCCCAUUGGCCGAGGUUGGGUCACAUGCCCAUUUCUGGACCAGUUCUAGACUGUUCCAGGAAGGUAAAAUAUACUGAUUGGCCAGGCUGGGCUACAAGGUCACCCUGGGGCAGGGGACGUGGGUGAAGUGGGGCCAGCUAGACGGAGAGAAGGAAUAUUCUGGAUGGAAAUUGGGAAGUGAAUGCUUGAUGGUCAAAACCAGCAGAUAUUCUGCACAGAAACAUUUUGCUUAAGCACAUUGCAUAAUUUUGAGCUAAAAGAUAGCAUCCUCCAUGCAGGGAGGUAAGUGGACAUCAAUCGUUGUAUUUAGCUGGUUAGGGCCAACCCAGGGUCAGAACUCAGGUCUUCUGACUUCUUGUCCAAUCAACCCUUCGUAAAUGCCUCCAUUCUUAAAGUCAGUCACAUAAUUUGUGCAAAAUGAAAAUGUGGAGCCACUUGUUUGAAAAUGAUUAGGAAUUUCAGGAUGGCUACAGCAGAGCAUUAAACUAAGGACACAGAUCAUGUAUGAAGUCAGCCCUGCUCAGCCAACACCAUUUUCCUUGUGUGCAGUGCACAGUAUUUGUUGGAGUACAGGCAUGCAAAGAAUUAGAAGACAUGACCUUCAGUGCCGACCAGCUUUUAAUCUAGUGUAAGACUGGAAGAGUUAAAGAGACUCUGACAACAAUAUAAUAGCUUUGGAGAAACAUGUAAAGUUGGGCUCUCUUUUAUGUCAAUAAUCUUCUAUAGGAGUGAAUGUUGUCUUGAGCUACAUAAAUAGGGAUAUAAAUCCAUAAAGAGAGAGGAGAUAGUUCCACUCCACCCACGGGUCUGCCCCUGGGCCGGCCACUAACUAAUAAUUGGAUUAGCUUCCGGCUCCUACAUGCUUUGAAGACAUUUGUUUUAUUUUUAAGGGUUUGAAAUCAUUUGUGCAUAAAGCCAGGGUUGUUUGUUUUUGUUUUUUUUCCUACUGUUUUUGCACACAAAUCUGUCGUGGACUGAACUGUGUCCUCCCAAAAUGUCUAUGUUGAAGCACUAAUCCCCAAUGUGACUUCAUUGGGAGAUAGAGCCUUUGAGGAGGUAAUUAAAGUUAAAUGGGGUCAUAAGGGUGGGGCCCUAAUCCAACAGCAUGGGUGUUUUUAUAAGAAGAGGAAGGGACACUAGAAAUGUACACACACACAGAAAAGGCCAGGGGAGGACACAGCAAGAAAGCAGCUGUCUGCAAGUCAAGGAAAGAAGCCUCUAGAAAAACCAACCCUUCCUGCACCUUAAUCUUGGACGUUCAACCUCCAGAGCUAUGAGAAAAUAAAUUUCUGCUGU